rnacentral:rRNA from 1 species
CGUAGGAGGCGAGCGUUAUCCGGAUUCACUGGGCGUAAAGCGCGUGCAGGUGGCGCGGUAAGUUAGGCGUGAAAUCUCCCGGCUCAACUGGGAGAGGUCGUCUAAUACUACCGUGCUUGAGAGCAGAAGAGGAAGAUGGAAUUCCCGGUGUAGUGGUGAAAUGCGUAGAUAUCGGGAGGAACACCAGUGGCGAAGGCGAUCUUCUGGUCUGUUUCUGACACUCAGACGCGACAGCUAGGGUAGUAAACGGGAUUAGAGACCCCGGUAAUCCUAGCCGUAAACGAUGUGAACUUGGCGUUGGUGGGUUAAACUCCAUCAGUGCCGUAGCAAACGCGAUAAGUUCACCGCCUGGGGACUACGGCCGCAAGGUUA